GCUCCGGUGGCCUAGCAGUUAGAGCGUCCGCCCCGGAUGUGGGAGGUUGCGGGUUCUAACCCCUGCCGAAUCA